CCUGUAAUAUUUUGGUGUUUCACAGUAAGAUUCAUCAGCUUGUUCUGAUUAAAAGCCCUCUUUGUUCUCCAAGGAAAUGACAAGACAGAAGAUAGAAAUAAAGAAGAUCGAUAACAUAACAGCGAGGUAAGUAACGUUUUCAAAGAGAAGAAGAGGGCUAUUCAAGAAGGCUCAUGAACUCUCUACUCUCUGUGAUGCUGAGAUUGCUCUCAUAGUCUUUUCUGCUACUGGCAAGCUCUUUGUAUAUGGUAGCUCAAGGCUUAUUAAUCCAGACUAACAGGAGAUUGACUACGAACGUGCUUGCUA